GAUGAACGCUGGCGGCGUGCCUAAUACAUGCAAGUCGAGCGAACAGACGAUGAGCUUGUGGCGUUCUCGUGAGCGGAGGACGUGUGAGUAACAUGUGGAUACUCUACCUAUAAUUGGGGGAAAACUUGGGGAAACGGGAGAUAAUAGCGGAUAAGAUACUGCAGCGCGGGGGGCAAUGGUGAAAGUCGGUGGUGCUGGCACUAAUCGAUGCAUCUGGGCUGCAUUAGCUAGUUGGGCAGGUAACGGGUUUCCAAGGCGACGAUGCGUAUCCGACCUGUGAGACUGGUCGGCCGCACUGGAGCUGAGACGCGCACCAGGGGACUACGGGACGCAGCAGUAGGGUAUGGGCCGCAAUGGGCGGAAGCCUUACGGAGCAACGCCACGUGAGUGAUAGCAGUCUUCGGAUCGUAAAACUCUGUUAUGGGGGAAGAACCACUUUGUCCGUAACUAUGCACGGCUUGACGGUACCUAAUCAGAAAGCCACGGCUAACUACGUG
rnacentral:rRNA from 1 species